rnacentral:rRNA from 1 species
CCUACGGGUGGCAGCAGUGAGGAAUAUUGGUCAAUGGACGAGCGUCUGAACCAGCCAAGUAGCGUGAAGGAUGACUGCUCUAUGGGUUGUAAACUUCUUUUAUAUGGGAAUAAAACGCUCCACGUGUGUGAUUUUGUAUGUAUCAUAUGAAUAAGGAUCGGCUAACUCCGUGCCAGCAGCCGCGGUAAUACGGAGGAUCCGAGCGUUAUCCGGAUUUAUUGGGUUUAAAGGGAGCGUAGGUGGAUUGUUAAGUUAGUGGUGAAAGUUUGCGGCUCAACCGGAAAAUUGCAGUUGAUACUGGCAGACUUGAGUACAGUAGAGGUAGGCGGAAUUCGUGGUGUAGCGGUGAAAUGCUUAGAUAGCACGAAGAACUCCGAUUGCGAAGGCAGUUCACUGGACUGCAACUGACACUGAGGCUCGAAAGUGUGGGUAUCAAACAGGAUUAGAUACCCGGGUAGUC